CUAGGUCACCUAUAGUGGACGGAAUAGUGAUAAUCUAUAAAUCAAUUGUUUGUCGCUGUCUUAAACCAAGUAUGAAUAAUCAAAUAAUCAUUGACGCUGGAACGAGGCAAAAUCAGCCUGUCCUGACCCAAGCUCUACCUUCUGGGUGGUUAUAGCCUCAACUGGACGUAUCGUGUGAAUAAUAGAGCUCUGUAAUAUCGAACAAGAGAAGACGGAAAAAAAGGAAUAAGUUCUUAUUCCACGAGCUGUCAAUCUAGACCAGCAGGAUAUCCAUUUGCGUGAAGAAUCCCAAUGGUGAUAGACAUCUCCAGAGUCAAAUUAAGGCGGGGAAAGUUUGCUGGGUAUUGGAGCAGGUUUCCGAAGACAGGUCAAAUCGAAGGGAAGGAAAAUCGUUGGCCUCCGGCUAAUAAUUUAAUUGGUCCUUUGCCAUAUCAACGAGGUUGAUCUGGAUCACCUAGUGCUGAAGUCACUGGAAACCCACUAUUUGGAUUCAAUCCCUAGAUGGGAAUGUUGAUGAUCCGAUAGGUUAAACGGCUCAAGUAUUAUCCGUUGGUGAAACUUAGCACCUUUUGCACGAAAAAAAGGUGAGGACCGCUAAUUUUCCUAAUAGAUUAAAUACCCAGGGUGGGAACAUUGUCAUUGAGGAUCGAGUCCCACAGACUUUGCUAAGUGAGGGCCUCACCUUGUACGCCAUUGUUUCACAAACAAAAGACGUUCCUAGCUAGUCAUGGCGGCACUCUUUGAACGCCCCUUGGCCAAUCGUUGGCUGCGUUUAGAGCAACCUGGUAUAAAAGAAACCUGUGCUCGUCGAUGAUUAAGAUUUUCUGCGUGUGCAAGUAAUGCCCAUGGGUUUGUACCACAUUAAGAUCGUCUCAUCAAGCUUCUCCGAGGUGAUUUGAUGCUGUAUAAAAUUGCAAAUCCUUGGUUCAUCAUUGCUCAUUCACUUCGUUAUUGUAAUUGAAUGAUUUACGCAUAUAUUAAUAUCUCUAUAAAUGGUUAAUUUAUAGGCAAUUAACUUAUUGACUGUGAAGAACCGAUGACAUUGAUAGAAAUAACGAAAAUAGAAUGGAUGAAUAGAUAAUUUCACAAACACAUUGACCCGAGAGUUAUAAACUUCUCUAGCCCAUUGAAGAACUUUUUAUGAAUCAUCAUCGAGAAACCAUUUCAGUGUUUUUCAUCAACGUCCACCUCUCAUUUUUCUUGUCCCCACUUUGGUCCCAGUGAGGGAAAAAAAAAGGUAAUGGAAAGCCGCGUAGAGAUGCCGCAGGGGCUUAUACAGAGGAUCAUGAUUAAUCAAUUAGCAAUCUCGGAGAGCCCUUAAAAAUUGACGGGGACGAUGGUAAAAAAAAACCGGAUCCAAAGGAGCCGACGUGACGCUGCGGGUUUCUUCCUCACGAUUGCGUGUAAUCUACCGAUAUGAUAGAGCACAAUGAUGAACCGUCGUCAAUGGACAAUUGAUGUUAGCUCAGGAGUCUCCACAAAUAUCACGGAUUUUAUAGUGAAUGAUUUAUUUAAGGGGAAUUGCUGUGAUGCACUCGAAUUAAUUCCUCCUCGAGGACCGGAAACUUACAAAUUAACGAGUUAAAAUCGGCUUCAACGAUCGGAUGGAUGAACAUGUUUAGUGUGAACAAGAAUUUCCACCUGAUGAACGACUACGUGCUGCAUCACAGCUACUGAGGAAAAAAAGUUGAAAGAGAGUAAAAAAAGAAACUGAGCGGAACUGGUUGUGGAGAGGGGAGAGAGACCCAAAAGUUAUCUGGCCGAACAGUGUGAAAUCAUCCGCUUCCGAAUUUCCUGAGUGAGAUCUCUCCAUCUCUCUUUCUCUCUCGAGGGUGCCGAUGCAUCGGAGCAGAAAUAAAUGACGUUUGCAAGGUGUUCGCAUCAAUAAUAUUACAUCUUGGUUUGGCUCCUUCGAGUCCACUUCCCCUCGUCAUCUUUAUCCUCAGCCGCAACGAAACUUUAAAAAUGGGUUUUUUCCUCAAUUCCUCUCCAGCUCCGAGGCCUUUACGGAUUUUUAAUUUUUAAUGGGCGCAAUGCACACACUGAUGAAUUUUUCCAAUGGGAAAAUAUCGAAGGAAAGCAAGUGUUCGUCUGAUCUACAUUGAACAUAAUAGAGUUGACGGCACGUCCAAUGACUUAUUACAUAUACCUUGAACUCGAUCGUAAAAGUUUAAUCGAUAUAUUUUUUUUCUCCCCUCAAAAUCGACGCUUGAUUACACGAAAAUUGUGGUGGUCCACUUAGCCAUCACUGUCACAUUCUCUGUGGCGGUUCAGGAUUUUUAAAAUCCGUCCCUGAACUGCUGCCUAAUAGUGAUUCUCGGCUUUCAGCAUCGAGCCGGGGUACUCAAUUCUUUUUGUUCUACUGGGUUUCUUUUCACCUUUUUUUUCCUCUCGUUUCAAUCCUUCACUCGUCCGUCCUCGUCGAUGAAUGCGAGGGAGAGACGCACGGCAAUAUGAACCUGUUAAGACUGAACGUGGAAUCAUCAGUUAUAGGUGAAGAGGUGUUGGAGUGAUCUAUAUUCGAUUUCUUCUGGGCAUUUUUGAAUGAUUGAGGGGAAUUAGGUUUGUCAUUCCAUUCGGGCUUGUUUUCUACUUGCUCGCAUGCUUCAUUCCAGCAUGUGGUAGUUUUUUGUUUAAGGAGACAACAGUUUAAUGAAAAUUGAAGAUUACUUAUCGUAUUUUUUAAUGGGAAUUGCGAAUAAAGAACAGGAAACCUUUAGGGAAUUGAGAGGCUCAUUAUUCAAUAAAAUACAAAAUCAUUACAUGAUUUCAGCCGAAAAAUUACUCAAACUUUUACAAUUUUCAUUAACUUGUACUCAUUUUUUCCCCUCGGUGCAGUGAAUAAAAAUAUUAUCAACAAAAAAUCUAUUUCACGUGUUGGAAUUCAAAGGAUUUUCCUUCUUUAUCAGUGUCACCCACAGAGCAGUAUAAUUUCUCUAAAAUUCUCACUGAUUGGCAUGGAUCGAUUGGUCACGGACAAUGGGGUCUUCCACUUGAUGUUUGCGGCUGGAAGGGAUUGUCGAGGUCCCGAGCAAAGGAGAGUGUCGGCAAAAGGAUAAAAACAGUAAUGAGCAAAACGCCGGUAUCGUUACCGUUUUCUGUUGCUCUUCUUGUUGCGUUUUGCCCCCAGAGUUUGCUUCGGGGAAGUAAAAGAGUUAACGCUCCCGGAUAUCAUCCCAAAGGGUUUCCGUCGCUUUCUGGAGAACACGACUGCCCAUAACCAUUUUAUAUUCGACCUCCUCAGGACAAGAAUUCGCCACAUUAUUUUCAAAAAUGAUUGAUGAAAUAUUACCGUGAAAGAGAAGGCAUGGGAAAAGGGAUAAAGGGAGGUGAAGGAGUGAGGCCAAACCGGUGUCCAAUUAAUAGUGUUGCAGUUAGUCAAGGAGGGCCCUCUACUU